GAUGAACGCUGGCGGCGUGCUUAACACAUGCAAGUCGAACGGAAAGGCCCAAGCUUGCUUGGGUACUCGAGUGGCGAACGGGUGCGGAACACGUGGGCGAUCUGCCCUGCACUUCGGGAUAAGCCUAGGAAACUGGGCCUAAUACCGGAUAGGACCAGACUUUGGGUGGUGUGGUGGAAAGCUUUUCGGUGUGGGCUGAGCUCGCGGCCUAUCAGCUAGUUGGUGGGGUAAUGGGCUACGAAGGCGCCGGCGGGUAGACCGCCUCAGAGGGUGGACGGCGACACUGGGACUGAGGGGCGGCCGAGAUGCGUACGGGAGGAAGAAGGGGGGAAGACUGAUCCAGGCGCGCCAGCCUGAUGAAGAGAGGCUGCGGGGUGGAAGACGGCUUUCGGGGUGAAAAAUCCUUUCGGUAGGAACGAAGCGUUAUGUGACGGUACCUGGAGAAGAAGCACCGGCUAACUACGUG
rnacentral:rRNA from 1 species